AUGGAGUUAGAACUCAGGGCCUUCUGAUUCCCAAACAGAUGACCUACCCUGGAGCCACGCUGCUUGCGUCCAUGGUUUUUCUCUCUAGCGUGACUUCUUUCAUGACUCAGAAGGUGAUGUAGUUGAGUGAAGGCUUUAUCACAAGCUUAUAGCUUAUAGCGAAGCCAUGGGCAGAGAGGCCAGACUGAGCAUAUCUGCACUUUGCCCACUGACAGCACUCCUGCGGCCUGAGGAAGACCAUCUGCCUCCUGAGGUUUUACUCAGAGUAAACCAUCCGCUACGAGGGGGCGUGUCGGUGGGCGGGGCCGGGGCGGAGCUGUCUUCCAGAGGCGGCGCAGCGGCAGGAAGCUCCCGAGCUUCCCACGGAGUCAGCGACCCCGGAGAAAGCUCCCGGGACUGGGCCGGCCGAGUGGCAGGACUCAGCGUUCUGAUUCCGGCGACUUCCGGGCGGCGGAGCUCUGCCCCUCCUUUCUUUUCUCUAGGUCAGGUCUCCUUCUGCCUGCGCUGGACCUGCGCACGCGGGGGACUUCCGCAUCGGGCCCUCCAGCCUCCCGCAGCGUCCCGCAGCGCCCUGGCGGGCAGCAGCCUGGGUGGUAGCGGCGCGCUUGGUGCUCGGCGCCAGCACCUGCUACUGCCAUCUACAGGCUGAGGCGGGGCCCGCGGCGAGGCGGCCGGGGGCAUCGGCUGAGCCCCUCUGGAUCUGCAGGCUCUGUUACUGUCAAGGUCCCAUCUUCUCCUCAAACCUAUUUACAGUUAUCAGGAAAAGAGGUUGAUAUGAACCCAGAAGUCAAUGUUCAGGAAGUGGCUGAAGAUGAUAAAGAUGAUGGUGUAACAAUUAUUGAUCAGGUCUCCUUCUGGCUGCGCUGGACCUGCGCACGCGGGGGACUUCCGCAUCGGGCCCUCCAGCCUCCCGCAGCGUCCCGCAGCGCCCUGGCGGGCAGCAGCCUGGGUGGUAGCGGCGCGCUUGGUGCUCGGCGCCAGCACCUGCUACUGCCAUCUACAGGCUGAGGCGGGGCCCGCGGCGAGGCGGCCGGGGGCAUCGGCUGAGCCCCUCUGGAUCUGCAGGCUCUGUUACUGUCAAGGUCCCAUCUUCUCCUCAAACCUAUUUACAGUUAUCAGGAAAAGAGGUUGAUAUGAACCCAGAAGUCAAUGUUCAGGAAGUGGCUGAAGAUGAUAAAGAUGAUGGUGUAACAAUUAUUGAUCAGGUCUCCUUCUGGCUGCGCUGGACCUGCGCACGCGGGGGACUUCCGCAUCGGGCCCUCCAGCCUCCCGCAGCGUCCCGCAGCGCCCUGGCGGGCAGCAGCCUGGGUGGUAGCGGCGCGCUUGGUGCUCGGCGCCAGCACCUGCUACUGCCAUCUACAGGCUGAGGCGGGGCCCGCGGCGAGGCGGCCGGGGGCAUCGGCUGAGCCCCUCUGGAUC